AGCAGCCGCGGUAAUUCCAGCUCCAAUAGCGUAUAUUAAAGUUGUUGCAGUUAAAAAGCUCGUAGUUGAAUUUCGGGGUCAGUAGGUUGGUCGUGCCACUGGUACGUACUGGUCUCACUGAUUCCUCCUUCCUGAUGAACCGUAAUGCCAUUAAUUUGGUGUUGCGGGGAAACUGGACUGUUACUUUGAAAAAAUUAGAGUGUUUAAAGCAGGCUAACGCUUGAAUACAUUAGCAUGGAAUAAUGAAAUAGGACGUUCGAUCCUAUUUUGUUGGUUUCUAGGAUUGACGUAAUGAUUAAUAGGGAUAGUUGGGGGCAUUAGUAUUCAAUUGUCAGAGGUGAAAUUCUUGGAUUUAUUGAAGACUAACUACUGCGAAAGCAUUUGCCAAGGAUGUUUUCAUUAAUCAAGAACGAAAGUUAGGGGAUCGAAGACGAUCAGAUACCGUCGUAGUCUUAACCAUAAACUAUGCCGACUAGGGAUCGGAUGAUGUUAAUUUUUUAAUGACUCAUUCGGCGCCUUACG
rnacentral:rRNA from 1 species